rnacentral:rRNA from 1 species
GAUGAACGCUGGCGGCGUGCCUAACACAUGCAAGUCGAACGGAGUCCAGCCUUUAAGACCUUCGGGUCAGAGAGGGGAAGACUGAGUGGCGGACGGGUGAGUAACACGUGGGCAACCUGGCUCAUAGAGGGGGAUAACAGAGAGAAAUUUCUGCUAAUACCGCAUAAGCACACACUGCCGCAUGGCAGAGGUUGAAAAGAGAAUCGCUAUGAGAUGGACCCGCGUCUGAUUAGCCAGUUGGCAGGGUAAGAGCCUACCAAAGCGACGAUCAGUAGCCGAUCGGAGAGGAUGAACGGCCACAUUGGGACUGAGACACGGCCCAAACUCCUACGGGAGGCAGCAGUGGGGGAUAUUGCACAAUGGGGGGAACCCUGAUGCAGCGACGCCGCGUGAGUGAAGAAGUAUUUCGGUAUGUAAAGCUCUAUCAGCAGGGAAGAUAAUGACAGUACCUGAAUAAGAAGCCCCGGCUAACUACGUG